CAAUCCUGGCUGCCCACUAGAGUCACCCGGGAAGCCUGUAAAGCCCAACAAUCAAGCCACACCUGACACCAAUGCAGUGAAGCUCUUUGGAAGUGGGUGGGGCCCAGGGUCCCGAGGCUUUAAAGCCCCCCGUGAUUGCGCUGUGUGGCCAGCUGGGGGAGCUCUUGCACGGAGUGGGCGGAAGGCUUGGAAUGCUCGCUCAUCCCACAGGCUUCCUGCAGAUCCUCAAGCCUAGAAGAGUGCAUCGUAAAGCCUAGGCACCUCUUCAGGUCCUGUUCGGUCUUCUCCGGCAGCGUCUUGUCGCUGCUCCGCUGGCCAUGAGCCUCACGUCCCCAUGCGCUCCUGUCUUCUGGGCGCUUCUGCAUGCCCCUGCUUGCAGCUCCGGAGCAGCCGCAGCGACGCCCUUCCCCGCCGCAGCUGUGUCUGCACC